rnacentral:lncRNA from 1 species
CCAGUCUGUUUCUCUGUCUGUGCACGCGGGUCGCUCUCAUGUUUUUUUUUGGCUAUGUGUGUUUCCUCGGUUUUUUGCAACCGUAUCCUCUCACCAGUCCGUUUCUCUGUCUGUGCAUACGUGUCGCCCAGAUUUUUUGGCUGAGUGCGGUUCCUCAGUUAUUUGCAAUAGUUUGAAAAGAGAGCCGGUAGCGCUUCACUGAAAUAUGCGCCAUGGAGCUCUUGUCCGCUCCGUUCUCUGUACGGUCAUCUUCUUUGCUCCUUUUUCGGAAGCGGAUUCUUUCACGGAGCUGCUCGGCCUGGUAGAAAAUGACCCUUGCACCGGCUUGAAGAGCAACCGGUUAAGUCAGACCGAUAUGUCAAGGCAAAAGGUACUGGCCAAUCAGCAGUGCAACAGGAUGUAUGACCUGCUCCAAAAUUCACCGCGAAAGGAGCACAAAGAAUGUUUAAACGGCCGUUACGCUGGUUGCGCCGACACCCCAGAACCCGGCGGCUGGCUAACCUCGUCGUACCGUUGCCGUUGUGCCGUCAUUGUCAGUAAUAACGUCUGCAAACCAAAGACAGUUUCGAUCUACAGCUGCGUGCACUCCGCUCUGAAAAAAAACAAGAGCCGUUCCAUCGCCAGGUGGAAAUCCUCCAGGAAGAGGAGAUCCCGGUCCUCAUCAUCAGGGAUGUCCCCGAUAUCGAGACAGCUUUCGACGAUGACAGUCAGUUUUAAUCAGGACCCUCGGGGCUCUCACGGCUACGCCUACCCACCGGACCAACCUCCUCCGCCUCCACCAAGCCGCCAAGCACCUCCACCACCCAGCCGCCAAGCUCCACAUCCACCACCAAACCGCCAUGCUCCGCCUCCACCAACGGCGGGCUCCCAGGUCCAACGCCACGACUCACUGCGCCUAUCGGAUCGGUACAACGAGGGCUUCUACCUCAACGAACUAUCGGACAGCGAAAGCGCCCGCUGGAUAAUCCUUCGUCCUCCUCCGCCUCCAGUGACCUCCUCGGACAGCGAGACGGAGUCAACCGACGAGGACUGGAUACCUAAGCCCCCUCCACGACCCCCCGGAUACGUUGACCCCCCGGCUACGAUCUUGCGGACACGCCGACCUUCCCAACCCGACAAAUCCGGCUUCCAGGUCUUGGAGAGACCUUCCUCGCAGGCCUUCUCCAAUGGUAACGGGGGCCUCUCCUCCCAGGUCACUAUGAAUGGUAAUGGGAGAACCUCUUCUCAGGCUCCUCUAGCACCUUCCGACAGCAACAGGGGGAGAAUGAGAUGGAGCAGUAGUGGAUAUAGGAAUUGAGGGAGGUUUUGCGCCCAUAAAUUAGCCACGUUGAAGACCUCUGCAAACCUCUUUCAAUCACAAUGAAGAGUGUAAAGGCAUUUUUUUGG